GCUUUUGCCAGAAGACUUUCUCCCGCGCCUGGUCCCUGCAGAGACAUCUGGCGGACACGCAUUUUUACGUGCCGCAGUCGCUCUGCUGCGACCAGUGCGGCAGGAGUUACAAGUCGAGGAACAGUCUGGUCAGCC